AUGCUUGGAGAGAAAUCAGUAGUGAAAUGGGAGUCCAUGUGCCGAAGUUAAAGAAAAAAUUGUGUCUUCUACCACUUCAAACUGCAUAUCUCUGAUAAGUGUCACUCCAUACUGCAUUCUUUUUCGGUAC